rnacentral:ncRNA from 1 species
GAGAGCACAGUAUGAUGAAAGUUGUAAGCUGUGUUCGGGGGGAGUUAUUGUCUAUCGUUGGCCUCUAUGGUAGAACCCGUCGGGGAGGCCUGAGAGGUAGUGGUUUACCCUGU